rnacentral:tRNA from 1 species
AUUUAUAUAGUUUAAUAAAAACAUUACAUUUUCACUGUAAAAACAAAAAAAUUUUUUUAUAAAUA